GACAGAGGGUGCAAACGUUGCUCGGAUUUACUGGGCGUAAAGCGCAUGUAGGCUGGAAUCUAAGUCGGGUGUGAAAUCCCUGGGCUCAACCUAGGAACUGCAUCCGAAACUGGAUUCCUGGAGUGGUGGAGAGGAAAGCGGAAUUCCGGGUGUAGAGGUGAAAUUCGUAGAUAUCCGGAGGAACACCAGUGGCGAAGGCGGCUUUCUGGACACCAACUGACGCUGAGACGCGAAAGCGUGGGGAGCAAACAGG
rnacentral:rRNA from 1 species